CCACUCCAAUGCUUAGACAUUAUUAGCACCGGUCUACCUUUCUAGCUGGGACUGCCCAAGCCGGAGAGAGCAGGGCUCAAAGCAAAGAACUUGGUGGAAGAAGCCUGCUCAGAAUCAUGACCACCAUUCACAAUCACAAAUGCUCAUAUCAAAAUAAAAUAGAAUCGACUCCCAAAUUAAUGUAUGAAAUAGCCUGACAUUAAAAGAAGGUGGCCCAAGAAUGAAAGAUUAUCCCAAGUUGAAAACUUGUUCUACAAAAUAGAUGUGCUGGCUUCCUGUGGAGAAAGAACCCAAUCAGAGUUGCGGACCUUUCUCUACAAAUCAGAUUCUGUUGUAACAACCUUGGCUGGCUCUCACAGCCACAUGUUUAUCCCAGUGCUUUUGCCCAGACUGUUGAGAACUUACUGUGUCCAAAGUAUUGCCUAGGCCCAGGAUGACAGUGGGUGAAAAAAAUUCAUCUUGUGUCCAAAGGACACUACCUCCCCUGAGUAAUAGGUUUCAACAGCAUGUGGCAUGCAGGUAAGAUCUACAGCUCAGCAACUCAUAGGAUUUGACUUGAAGUUUUUUAUUUCUUGUUGGUGAUUCUGCUUUUUGAAAGUCUUAAAUAUUUUCUCUUAGGUGAUUUUAAAGAUUGGUCUUACGUCACCCGGAGCCAAGUCGUGCAGAUUCUGGCCAGAUACCCUGGAAUCCACUUGGAGGAGGCCACCACAACUAUUUGUAGAAUUGGUGUCCCACCUGGAAGUCAUUCUUUGGCCACAUUACUUUUUUCAAGGGAAUACCUUACCACUGGACGCUCGGAUAUGCUUUGCCUCGAGCACUGUGUGGCACACCCAGGGAGCAGUACCUGUGUGACAUCAUAUCGCAAACUCAGCUCCUGGAGAGAUGGACUGUUAGCAACCUGAAGGACUUUCUGCCCAUCUUCCUCACUCUGUCCACUCUCUGCACUCUGUACCACAUCGAACUAUGUUAGUAUUUAACGAACAUCUUGGCCGUUUGUAUGUUUAAUGAAUAUUGGGUGGGCCCCUUCACUACGGUGGGAGCCGCAAGGCUGUGGAGGUUGACUGGUAAG